rnacentral:rRNA from 1 species
UACGUAGGGGGCAAGCGUUGUUCGGAAUUACUGGGCGUAAAGGGCGCGUAGGCGGCACGGCAAGUCAGAAGUGAAAGGCCUGGGCUCAACCGAGGAACUGCUUUUGAGACUGCCGAGCUAGAGUGCGGAAGGGGCAACCGGAAUUCCCAGUGUAGCGGUGAAAUGCGUAGAUAUUGGGAAGAACACCUGAGGCGAAGGCGGGGUUGCUGGGCCGACACUGACGCUGAGGCGCGAAAGCCAGGG